CAAAAUAAAUAAUGUAAAUAAUUAAUUUAUUUAUAAAAUAAAAUAUCUUUAGGUAAAGUGCCUGAUUAAAGGAUUAUUUUGA
rnacentral:tRNA from 1 species